rnacentral:rRNA from 1 species
UGGGGAAUAUUGCACAAUGGGGGAAACCCUGAUGCAGCGACGCCGCGUGGGUGACGAAGUAUUUCGGUAUGUAAAGCCCUAUCAGCAGGGAAGAAGAUGACAGUACCUGACUAAGAAGCCCCGGCUAACUACGUGCC